UAUCAUGUAUCUAAAUUACCUGCCGCUAAGAGAGCGGCCAUUGAUGUUUAAUUCCUGACGUCACACUGUCUGUUUUGGUUUAUUUCAUCAGUAGCACUGUAAACAAGUCAAGAUCAGUUCAGUUUGGAGCCGUACAGAUUUGAGCCCCUUCUUUGGCAAGAAGAAAUUAAGAAAAGAAGACGUUCAGUCGAGUCCCAGACCAGGCAGACGUUCUUGUGAAUUUUAAAAGAGCAACGUUACAAGAAGUGGCAUGACACUUGGAAUAAAGGCACUGACUGGGACUGAAGUAGUAAAGCUCUGUCAUACACAAGUACCAAUACUUGUAUAUUAAUUAUAUGGACUGUAAAAACGUUAUAAAGAAAUAUGAUGUAAGAAUGUAAAUAUACAAAACUUACAAGAACUACAACCUUGUAACAAUGUAAUGUAAAAACGUUAUAAAGAAAUAUGAUGUAAGAAUGUAAAUAUACAAAACUUACAAGAACUACAACAUUGUAACAAUGUAAUGCAUUCCGCAGGCACAGAAAGCACCCAUCCCGCUCCUGCUCUGAGGUGACACUUCGGAUUCUGUGAUCCCGGCGGUGCUUAAGAUAUCCAUCAUCGAUGUGGUUCUGGUCGGAGCCACCUCUCAGGGGCUAUGGCUGCUCGGGGUCUUGUCCAAAUAUCACGAUGAAUGCAGUGGUUUGUUUUGUUUGAGGAUAAUACGACACAGCUUGUAUACAGUCCAAUAUGGAGGAUGUUUCACUAGGAAUGUUUGCGUUCCUACUGAUGGAGAGGGUGGAUCUAGGGAUGUUUUGACGGAUGUCAGAAAUGAUGGACAUGCAAACAGGUGGUCAUCCAUUAAUGCAGACAGACAAGCUGAAGCAAGGAACGAUAUCUCCUUGAACUUUGGUGGAAUUUUAUCAAAUGCGACGAUGAAGACAUUAUCACUGCAGGGGCGGAUCCCAAAAACUUCCAUGGGGUGCGGCCCAAGUUUUCACCCUCCGCCGAAAAAAGAGGGUGUGGAGAUUAAAAACGCCAAAAUAAACCGUUAAUGUUCAUAAUGUACAACUGAAAUGGAGAGGUUCCAAGCCACGUACCCCCUCUACACCCACUGUAAGGAUUAUAAAGAAUAUCCAUGUCUUUAGUUAAAGUUUAGUGGACCACAGUGUUGUGAUGGCUAACUGUAGAUCGUACGUUCAAGUCGCACUUGGUUUCUCUCUCUCUCUCUCUCUCUCUCUCUCUCUCUCGUGGACCUGUGUAUCCUGCUAACACACACGUUCGUUUUUACCGUGUAAGUGAUAUACAGCUGACGUUUAUUGACAAGUUAUAAAGAGAGAACCUUGUCCGGCUUUUAUCUCUAGCAAUGUCAACUGUAAUGUGCAUGAACCAUUACUUAAUCGCGUACAUUUUCGUCGGCUACUUGCAUUUUAUCAUCGCUGACGACUCUGCACGUACUUCCUAGUAGUUGUCAUGGUUCUACGCGGUCAGUUUUGUUGAUAAAGAUUGCAUAGUAUGAUACUACCAAUAUUCAGGUGUUAACCUCGUGGACUAGCUCGGGCCCCCUACAGAUCUACACACCGUUGUUUACACAGACACCAGAUAACACCCCCCGGGGCAGACCACGUAUAGAAUUCUUCAGAGCCAAAACAAUGAAGAGAUAAAAAUCGACGUAGUUUUUUUUUUUCCUAUAGAGAACUGGCUCAAUGGUGCGACACACGAUCACCGGAAGUACAAUAACGUACAUUUUUGUUACAUUUUAAACAAGACAUUGACAGAAAUACGAGUUUUGUCAGACCCGACAGUUUGUUGUACUCCUAUGUCAUUAAGUACAGUAACCCCAUGCAUUUCAUUAACGUGAAUCGAGUUUUACACACGUACGUAAUGCGACAUACGAUGACCUUCUGGUGUACGCCAAGGUUCAAAAACCUCCCCAAUUCAGAAUAUUUAGACCCCCAUGUAGCUCAGUGCAACUCACCAGUGUGUCUGCGGUGUGUAUAUCCCUCUUCUUCAUUUCAGGACAAUAAUAUUCAAGAUAAUGUCGAGGUCCCUUAUAAUCCUUCUUGUUUACACUUUAACCAAAAGCUAGGCAAUCUCAGGUAAAACAAGUCACGUGGUCCCAUUCAAAUCCCCCUGUGUGUAUAUAAUUUAAAUUUUACAACACCUGACCGUAUCAACAAGUCAACGGCCUAAGUUCAUGUGGCCAUGCUUCUUGGAUUGCAUGUUCUGGGUCAUUUAAAACUUAAAAGUAAGCUGAACGCGAAACAAAAAUGCAGUGUUUCAUGUUGCGGUAAUCAACCCUCGGGGGUCGUUGUGCAGGUCUUUCAGACAUGCUUUCUAUUUAUGACAAAUCGUCAAUAUCUAUACUUUGUGAUUUCCUUUUGUUACGGCACGUUAACAAUCGUGAACUAAUUACUAAACAAUGAGUAAAAGAUUUGUCUUCGCUAAUGAACUUGGCAAUGUCUUCAAAAUCGAUACAUUGUACUUGCGACAAUGCAUGAUCUUCGAAGAAAAUUACCCGAUUUGGCCGAGCCCCCUUUUUUCUCGAUUUUAAAUGUUCUGUGGACAUAUAUUAUACGUUAUCAUUGCCCGAUGUCUGAAAUGUCAAAAAGUAUAAACUAUCAACAAGUCCUUUCAGAUUAAACCUUGAAAUGUUUUUCAUGGCGUCCAAAGUCCACAAAAAACACGCGUUGUAGCAAUAUUACAGUUUCUGUAUUUUAAGAAAACGAGAAAUGCGCAUUGCAUGCUUAUUUUACCAGUCGAAAAGAGGUGUUGCUAAAACACGGAACGGAAAUAUUGAAAGAACGGGAAGACAUGCUCAGAAUCAACUGUUUCAUAUACCCCAUACUAAUGCAUUUUUUUGUCAUUAUAACUUAUUUUGAAAAAUGUUACGCAAGCGCCUGUGGAUAUCCCCCCUUCCCGGCUUUGUCAUCCACCCUUCCCUCCCCCGGUGAUUGUGACAGCAUGUUGUUUCAUAUUCUUUUUAGAGAAGUCGAGACGCAUAGCCUUCACCAGUGAUUUUCAACAUUUUCAAAAGGGUCCUGUGGCUUUUGAAUUGGGAAAAAAUGUCAACAUUUUCAAAUUGGGAAAACCUAGACAUUAUUGUAUUGUAAGCAUGCUAAAUAUGUCAUAUCAAACAAAAAAUCAAACACAAAUUGAUGUCAUUCUUCUUUUAUUUUACAUAUUUAACUUUAUUUAAAUCAUACAAGACUUUCGUUACACACUGAAUACCUUAAUAAACGACCUUAUGAGCCCAACCAAUGAAUAACAAUACCCUCACCCCACCCCCAAAAACAACAUUAAAAAGAUCAAAUAAUUGGGAGGGGGGGGGGGGCAUAUAAACCCUGUGUGUCAGACUGUGAGUGAAAGAUUCUCGGGAAGGACGUUAAACAAUAUACAAUCAAUCAAUCUUUCCAUUCUCUACUUAAUUUAAACAUAUUUUAUUGAGAAACUCAAUAGGAUCGGGCAACAGGCACAGCCUAUGUAGGCCCUCUCCCAAAUACAAAGGUCAAGUACGAAGUUAUGGUUGAUAAACAGGAUUCUUUAAAUAUUUAAGAAUAUUGUAAUGAGGUUGACAUGAAAGUAGUUAAUAAGAGUUUUGCUGAAUUUUGCCAUUAAAAGAUUUUUUAUAGAUCAAUAUGUUCUACACAUACACUUACAAAACCCUCCACCUACAGUUACACACAUACAUAUAUACAUAUAAUAUAGAUCAAUACUAAUAUAGAUCAUUCCAUUUUCUACCUAUAUGUAUCGCUGCUCUGCUCACUUACACCCCUGUCAGUGCCGAAAUCACAAGAUUCUUGUAACUUUUAUACAAACAUUUUAACUUUGCGCAAUCAAUUUAUGGUGCAGGAUUUGAAGAUAAAAUUGUUCUAGACUACCGCUUGUAAAUAAAUUCUUAUUUGGAUUUUAAUCCAAAUAAAGCAUAUUUGACCGAUUUUGGGCGUUAUUUUAGCUACAUUUUAGUUCCUUUCCGUUCCGCAUUUUAGCAACACCCGUUGAAAAGUACCCAGAUUAGGUGCAGUGUAAUUUGUAUGGUGCAUUAAAAGUCAAUCCCUAUCCAGAGAUUCAGAUAAAACAAGUUUAUUUUAUAUCUGAAACAGAAUAACUUGUUGAAGUAUCUAUUUUCCACCCAAAAAAUGAAACAUUUGAGGAAAAGCUAUUCAGGGGAACAACUGCUUUUAGCAAGGGCCAUCCAUCUACUUCAUACAGGAUAUAAGUGGACCCCCGAGGACAAAAAAAAAAACCUUUAGGAGACAGGAAAUGCUGAGGAUAUAGCGAUGUCAGUACAUUGAAAAUCCCUCACAAAUCAAUGUCGCACUAAAAUGCAUCACUCAAUUUCUGAACAGACCACUGACGAGGUCUUCGGAGUCUACUAGACAUUGCCACACUGGGCUGCUGAUGCAGAUUUGACAUCUGGUUAAAAGCGACACGUUGUAACCCAUUAGUGAGAUUACCAAUUAUCUAAUGAAGGAUGUGAACACCAGAUUUCUUGCUCUCUCUUUUUUGCGACAAAAGAUUCUGACGUCACGAUCCCAUGCUAUCAAUUUGAUGAUAUCACAGCGUGGCGAACUAAACUUUUCAGAUUCAGAAGCAUUGACCAAACUGAGGGUCUUCAUAGUUAUCAUUAUCCGCUUCAGUAUUCACUAAUGAAAUAUUCAACAAAAGCCACCGUGAUCUCAAAUCCCUACACGCGUCCAGUAAGAGCAUUCGACACUGAUUGUGUAGUCCAAUACACGAUCGUCUGUCGUAAGGACAAAAAACGAGAAAUUCCCUUCGUCAAGUAUACGUGUAAGUACCGGAAGAGUAAACUCACCCAUGAGCCAAGAGAGUAUCUGUUUCUAAGGUUGGCCGCAAGGUCGCUCAGUAACGCCCCCUGGACGUCCAUAUCAAUGGAGAGCAGUGUCUUCUGCUUGAUUCCCGCCAAAUCUCCAGUGACUCUGGAAUGGCUUCAGCAGCAGAAACCAUGGAACUCGGGAGCAGAUUUAUCGGGACCAGUGGCCUUUAAAAACUCGAUUUCUCGUAGACCAUAAAGUAAUCCAAUAGUUUCAAAAUAAAUUUAAUUGACUUUCACGGAGAGUAAAUAAACACCCUAUGGUUAGCGUUAUAAGGCGCUGGGCAGCGAGAAUCAAUACUGAAAACUGUGUUUUGGUGAUCCGGGUCUUGUGCAAGAAAAUCUGAUAAACUUGUCAUUGUUUUACAGAUGAUUUCCAAGGCGUAUUAAGAUGGUAUCGGAACAAUAUUUCUGGCCUAUCGAUUCUCAGAAGGAAAUGAAAAAUAAUCAGACACUGGACUUCAUUUAGUAAAAAUUUAUUUACAGAUCCAAUCUAACGGUCGAAACUAUAGUAACAAUUUGAUGGCCUCCGGAAAUUACGUACGGAACUCAUGCAAACCGUGUAGAGGCCUCCAUGACAAUAAACUAAGAAUAGACCAGAGUCCAAAUGAUUUUUUUUUUUCAUUCCUUGCAUUGUUAAAAUUAAACAAAAUCCUCAUUGAAUUGACGUUGAAUUAGAUAAUUUGAAAUUGUAUUUACACCGUUUGGUGUCGUGCUAACAAGUUAUCAAUAAUACCUUAUAAAUAUAGCCUAUUCAUUCACUUGUUAUUCUUCAAUACGCCGUUCAUUUCCAUUCAUUUAACGCGUAUAUAAUAAUAUAUUCAACACCAAUAUCCGUUUUUCCUGUAUUUAAACCCUUUUAAAUCUUCGUCAAUCAUUCAAGUCCUGCGUACAAAUUAUGCUCACAAUAGCCAAUACAGAAACCUGUUCACUGUGCAUAUAAUAUCAUUUAAAGAUCUGUUGAUCAAGAAAUGAAUUGUAAUAUCACACCUUUAUUUUUAAAAGGUGUAGAUGUCCUGACUUGAAAGGGUCUUUUAUGUUUUCUCAUGACAAGAGAUUUUCAAGUUCUAAAUAUUACUCAUCUUUCACAAUUCGGUUUUAUUUACAGUGUAAUAAAAUGGGGAGAGUCGAUACCCGGACUGUGGUACAAUGGAAAGUGGCUAUAGCUAAACCAAGGUCUUGAUUUGACGAUGUCCUGUCAAAAACCCCAACUGAUGCCCUUAGGCCCCCAAGUAUUUAAAUACCUGAAGCACUGCCAGGAACCUGAAUGAUACCUGCGAGACCCUAUUGAUGAUACCUGUGAAACCCUACUGAUGAUACCUGUAAAACCCUACUGAUUAUAUCUGUAAAACCCUACUGAUGAUAUCUGAAACCCUACUGAUGAUACCUGUAAAACCCUACUGAUGAUACCUGUAAAACCCUACUGAUAUAUGUGAAACCCUACUGAUAAUAUCUGUGAAACCCUACUAAUGAUACCUGUGAAACCCUGCUAUUGAUACUAGUGAAAUCCUACUGAUGAUACCUGUAAAACCCUACUUAUUUCUGUGAAACCCUAUUGAUGAUAUCUGCGAAACCCUACUGAUAUAUGUGAAACCCUACUGAUAAUGUCUGUGAAACCCUACUGAUGAUACCUGUGAAACCCUGCUGAUGAUACCUGUGAAACCCUACUGAUGAUACCUGUAAAACCCUACUUAUUUCUGUGAAACCCUACUGAUGAUACCUGUAAACCCCUACUGAUAUCUGUGAAACCCUAUUGAUGAUAUCUGCGAAACCCUACUGAUAUAUGUGAAACCCUACUGGUAUCUGUGAAACUCUACUGAUAAUAUCUGUGAAACCCUAUUGAUGAUAUCUGCGAAACCCUACUGAUAUAUGUGAAACCCUACUGAUAUCUGUGAAACCCUACUGAUGAUAUCUGUGAAACCCUACUUGUAUCUGUGAAACCCUACUGAUAUCUGUGAAACUCUACUGAUAAUAUCUGUGAAACCUUACUGUUGAUAUCUGUAAAACCCUACUGAUGAUAUAUGUGAAACCCUACUGAUAAUAUCUGUGAAACCCUACUGAUGAUACCUGUGAAACCCUGCUGAUAUCUGUAAACCCCUACUGAUAAUAUCUGUGAAACCCUACUGAUAUAUGUGAAACCAUACUGAUGAUACCUGUGAAACCCUGCUGAUGAUACCUGUAAAACCCUACUGAUGAUAUCUGUGAAACCCUACUGAUUAUAUCUGUGAAACCCUACUGAUGAUACCUGUAAAACCCUACUUAUUUCUGUGAAACCCUACUGAUGAUACCUGUAAACCCCUACUGAUAUCUGUGAAACCCUAUUGAUGAUAUCUGUGAAACCCUACUGAUGAUAUCUGUGAAACCCUACUGGUAUCUGUGAAACCCUACUGAUAUCUGUGAAACUCUACUGAUAAUAUCUGUGAAACCUUACUGUUGAUAUCUGUAAAACCCUACUGAUGAUAUCUGUGAAACCCUACUGAUGAUACCUGUGAAACCCUACAGUUGAUACCUAUGGAACCCUACUGAUGAUACCUGUAAAACCCUACUGAUGAUACCUGUAAAACCCUACUGGUAUCUGUGAAACCCUACUGAUAUCUGUAAACCCCUACUGAUGAUAUCUGUGAAACCCUACUACUGAUAUCUGUGAAACCCUACUGAUGAUACCUGUGAAACCCUAUUGAUGAUACCUGUGAAACCCUACAGUUGAUACAUGUGAAACCCUACAGUUGAUACCUAUGAAACCCUACUGAUGAUACCUGUAAAACCCUACUGAUGAUACCUGUGAAACCCUACUGAUGAUACCUGUGAAACCCUACUGAUGAUACCUGUGAAACCCUACAGUUGAUACCUAUGAAACCCUACUGAUGAUACCUGUAAAACCCUACUGAUGAUACCUGUAAAACCCUACUGGUAUCUGUGAAACCCUACUGAUAUCUGUAAACCCCUACUGAUAUCUGUGAAACCCUACUACUGAUAUCUGUGAAACCCUACUGAUGAUACCUGUGAAACCCUACUACUGAUACCUGUGAAACCCUACUGAUAUAUAUAUAGAGAGAGAGAAUACUUUAUUUCUAAUUCAGUGUCUAUAAGGUAUGAAGACACUGAACCCACUGCUUAAGCAAUCAUAAGUCUGAAGAAAAUUGAGAACUGUGGACGAUGGCGGUAACAGAGAGAAUCUUAGUCCGUUUUUCACAUGUCAAGUCUGGUUUUUACUUUGCUCCACCGAACAGUAGAGAUAUUCAACUGUGAACAUGUCUUGCGGGAUAUUGAAAUCAUGCGCUUUUAAACACAUCAAAUGUAUCUCAUUAAACAUGUUAAAUGAAUAAAUUUGGCAAGAUGAUUUAAACCUAAUAAA